rnacentral:rRNA from 1 species
ACGGGUGAGUAAUGUCUGGGAACUGCCUGAUGGAGGGGGAUAACUACUGGAAACGGUAGCUAAUACCGCAUAACGUCGCAAGACCAAAGAGGGGGACCUUAGGGCCUCUUGCCAUCGGAUGUGCCCAGAUGGGAUUAGCUAGUAGGUGGGGUAACGGCUCACCUAGGCGACGAUCCCUAGCUGGUCUGAGAGGAUGACCAGCCACACUGGAACUGAGACACGGUCCAG